CAUUAAGGUUGCGCUUAAUUAUGUUUUGGUUUGUCCCAACCGGAAGUCAUUCGCUUGUCAAAUUUUUCUUAGAACAUUUGUAGAAAGAAACAGAAAUCCAGUUAGUUUUAUAUAUUUCAAUAGGAAUCAGUAAAUGAUAACUAGCAGAACUAACCCCACCAGCCAUAUAUAGGAACAGCAGGUCGUGAAAAGCACAUAUUCAGACGUCAUCUUCUACUACUGACUUCCUAUACCAAAGGCUAUAAGAAUAUUGAUAAUAAAAUAAACGAAUGGGACAAUAUGGGACAUACGGUCAUAUUAACCAAAUGGCAAUGUCAUGUUAUGAUGAAGACUUGUAUAACAAUCCAUUCUACACAGCCCUCGAGAAGAACUAUCAUCUGCUUCUUGA